GAUGAACGCUAGCGGCAGGCCUAACGCAUGCAAGUCGAGGGAGAGGUUACCUUCGGGUAACCAACACCGGCGCACGGGUGCGUAACGCGUAUACAAUCUGCCUUUCACAUAGGGAUAGCCCGAAGAAAUUUGGAUUAAUACCUAAUGGUAUAUAAGAGCGGCAUCGUUUUUAUAUUAAAGCUACGGUGGUGAAAGAUGAGUAUGCGUUCUAUUAGCUAGUUGGAGAGGUAACGGCUCCCCAAGGCGACGAUAGAUAGGGGUUCUGAGAGGGAUGUCCCCCACACUGGUACUGAGAUACGGACCAGACUCCUACGGGAGGCAGCAGUGAGGAAUAUUGGACAAUGGUCGGAAGACUGAUCCAGCCAUGCCGCGUGCAGGAUGAAGGUCCUAUGGAUUGUAAACUGCUUUUGUAAGGGAAGAAUAAGGAGUACGUGUACUUUGAUGACGGUACCUUACGAAUAAGCAUCGGCUAACUCCGUG
rnacentral:rRNA from 1 species